GACGAACGCUGGCGGCGUGCUUAACACAUGCAAGUCGAACGGAAAGGCCCUGCUUUUGUGGGGUGCUCGAGUGGCGAACGGGUGAGUAACACGUGAGUAACCUGCCCUUGACUUUGGGAUAACUUCAGGAAACUGGGGCUAAUACCGGAUAGGAGCUCCUGCUGCAUGGUGGGGGUUGGAAAGUUUCGGCGGUUGGGGCUGGACUCGCGGCUUAUCAGCUUGUUGGUGGGGUAGUGGCUUACCCAGGCUUUGACGGGUAGCCGGCCUGAGAGGGUGACCGGCCACAUUGGGACUGAGAUACGGACCAGACUCCUACGGGAGGCAGAAGGCGGGAAUAUUGCCCAGUGGGCGGAAGCGUGAUGCAGAAACGCCGCGUGCGGGAAGACGGCCUUCGGGUUGUAAACCGCUUUCGCCUGUGACGAAGCGUGAGUGACGGUAAUGGGUAAAGAAGCACCGGCUAACUACGUG
rnacentral:rRNA from 1 species